rnacentral:rRNA from 1 species
UGGGGAAUUUUGGACAAUGGGCGAAAGCCUGAUCCAGCCAUGCCGCGUGAGUGAAGAAGGCCUUCGGGUUGUAAAGCUCUUUUAGUCGGAAAGAAAGAGUUGCAAUGAAUAAUUGUGAUUUAUGACGGUACCGACAGAAAAAGCACCGGCUAACUACGUGCCAGCAGCCGCGGUAAUACGUAGGGUGCGAGCGUUAAUCGGAAUUACUGGGCGUAAAGGGUGCGCAGGCGGUCUUUGAAGGCCGGAGGGAAAAGCCCGGGCUUAACCUGGGAACUGCGUUUGAAACUACAAGGCUAGAGUGCAGCAGAGGGGAGUGGAAUUCCAUGUGUAGCAGUGAAAUGCGUAGAGAUGUGGAAGAACACCGAUGGCGAAGGCAGCUCCCUGGGUUGACACUGACGCUCAUGCACGAAAGCGUGGGGAGCAAACA